AUAAUGGAUUGGAAUCUUAUCUACCAUAUUAUCCCAUGUUAAUAGUCUUUUCAUUUUUCUUUACUUUUUGGAUCGGUUCUUUUUGUUUCUGUGACCAGUAUACCUUUAUCUGUUUCACUCAUCGUAAUUGUGGUAUUAAAUACUUUCUGAGAUCAGAACAUGAUUUAAACCCUUUGCAGUUGAACUCAAGAAGUUAUUUGCUCACAAAAACGCAGAGGGAUUGGAAUAUGGCAGUGGGUGAUAAGCCUCAUGUGGUUUGUAUACCAUACCCAUCUCAAAGCCAUAUCAAAGCAAUGUUGAAACUUGCUAAACUUCUCCACAAUAAAGGUUGUCACAUAACCUUUGUCAACACAGAGUACAACCACCGACGCCUACUCAAAGCGAGAGGACCGAAUUCUCUCGAUGGCUUGCCUGAUUUUCGAUUCGAAGCAAUUCCCGAUGGGUUGCCUCCUUCGGAUGCUAAUGCCACCCAACACAUACCGUCUCUUUGUGAAUCCAUUAGAAAGAAUGCACUAGCACCAUUUCUGAGCCUUGUUUCCAAGAUCAAUGAUGGUUGUGCUUCUCCACCUGACGUGCCUCCGGUUACUUGUAUCGUCUCUGAUGGGUUUAUGAGUUUCACCCUUACAGCUGGUGAACAGCUAGGUGUCCCUGUCAUAUUGUUCUUCACCAUGUCUGCCUGUGGUGUUAUGGGCUUUUAUCAGCUGCAUGUUCUAUUGGAAAAAGGGCUUACACCACUGAAAGAUGUAAGCUAUGUAACAAAUGGGUACCUUGAUACUGUCAUAGACUGGAUUCCUGGAAUGAAAGAUAUUCGUCUGAAAGAUCUUCCAAGUUUUAUUCGAACCACGGAUCCAAACAAUAUACCUUUUAACUUCUGCAUGGAAGCAGCCAUGAGGGCUUCCAAAGCUUCAGCAAUCAUUCUCCACACCUUUGAUGCGUUGGAGCAGGAUCUAUUGAAUGCCUUCACUGCCAUCUUUCCAAUUGUAUAUUCCAUAGGACCACUUCAGUUAUUUUUGAAUCACAUAUCACAGAAAGACAAGUCGGAGUCCAUCGGAUACAAUCUAUGGAAAGAAGAAUCCGAGUGUCUCAAAUGGCUGGAUUCCAAGGCACCCAGAUCCGUAAUUUAUGUGAACUUUGGUAGCAUAACGUCAAUGACCAAGGAACAACUAGAAGAGCUUGGGUGGGGACUUGUGAAUAGCCACCACAACUUUUUGUGGAUAAUUAGGCCUGAUUUGGUAAUGGGUGAUCAAUCAGACUCUGUAACUUUACCGCCUGAAUUGGCUGCGGAAAUCGAAGAAAGAGGUCUAAUAGUAGCAUGGUGCCCACAAGAGGAAGUCCUGAACCACCAAUCGGUUGGGGGAUUCAUGACUCAUUGUGGGUGGAAUUCAACUAUAGAGAGCUUGUCAGCGGGAGUGCCAAUGAUCUGUUGGCCGUGUUUCGGUGAUCAACAGACAAAUUGUCGUUAUACUUGUACAGAAUGGGGGGUGGGGCUGGAGAUUGAUAGUGAUGUGAAGAGAGAGGAAGUGGAGAGGCUUGUUAGAGAGGUAAUGGGAGGAGAGAAGGGGAAGAAAAUGAAGAGCAAGGCUAUGGAGUGGAAGGAAUUGGCAGAGAAGGCUACUGGUUCAGAUGGGUCAUCCACUUUGAGUUUAAACAAGUUGGUGGACAAACUGUUACUCUCAAUGGGUGGCUAGGAUCUGCAACUGUUUGCAGCAUUCCAAAAUAUACCUCUGUUUUCUGUGUGAAAUCACACUAGAUGUGAUGUAUGUGGUUGUUUCAUGGAGUAGUUACUUGAAGGGGGGAAAAACCUCUAUUUAAUCAUGGCAUCUUUUUCUAUUAUUGGGUUUUCCUUCGUUAACGGUUGCUUGUUUUGGGGGAUCGACAGCCCCUCUUAUCGGUUCAUAUAGUGAAAUGUUUCAAAGUGGCUUGGCUUCUACUAUGAUGGUUAUUUUGAUCGUUUUUGUCCAUGCAACUACCUCUUAUGCUGGGCAAAUUCGUGUGUUUUGUGUAAGGUUAUUUUUAUGGAUGUAUCGCCAUUGCUAGGUAAAUGUCUAAAUACUUCUGUUUGUUCUUUCUUUUUGUCCGAUAUGUGAGAUCUGGUUUUCUUCUCUGUAUUAUUAUUAUUUUAUUUUAUUUUUAUUAUUAUUUUUUUUUGAAAGAAGAAUCCUCAAGUCUACAGUUCGAGAUUGAGAUUUUGCUAUUAAGCUAAUAGUUGUUUUUGAUUGGGCUGGUCAUUAAGUUGUAGGCAUCUGGUGCACUGGCUGAUCUCUCCUGAGCCACCAAAUUUGGUAUAACUGAUUGGUUGAUUUUUCUUGCGUAUUUCCUGUUAAUUUUCCUUUUAGUUUGUUACUGUAGGUCCAUCAAAGAGGAUUCUACGUCUGAGUGUGUAAGACUUGAAGCCUACGUUGAUCUAUGGCUAGCUAAAUCUGCCCGAGUUUUAGGACAAAAAUUGACACAUACUUGGAGAUAGAGUACAUAAUUGGACAUAUUUGAAGAGCAAAGAGGAAGUUGCAGCUCGCAGCAGCGUGGCUCGAACCGGGGCAUCAUAUCAGUUGAACUCAAGAAGUUUGUUUGCUUAUAACGAAAGAGGGAUUGGAUAUGGCACAGGGUGAUAGGCCUCAUGGGGUUUGUAUACCACUCCCAGCUCAAAGCCAUAUGAAAGCAAUGAUGAAACUAGCAAAGCGCCUCCACCGUAAUGGCUUCCACAUAACCUUUGUCAACACAGAGUACAACCACCGACGUUUACUCAAAGCUAGAGGACCGAAUUCUCUCGAUGGCUUGCCAGAUUUCCGAUUCGAAACGAUUCCAGAUGGGUUGCCUCCUUCGGAUGCUAAUGCCACCCAAGACAUGCCUUCUCUUUGUGAAUCCAUCAGAAAGAAUGCUCUCGCGCCAUUUCUGGGCCUUGUUUCCAAGAUCAAUGGCAGUAGCGCUUCUGCAUCGGACGUGCCUCCAGUUACUUGUAUCGUCUCUGAUGGAUUUAUGAGUUUCACCAUCACAGCUGGUGAAGAGCUUGGUAUCCCCGUCUUGCUAUUCUUCACUCUGUCUGCCUGUCGUUUCAUGAGCUUUUAUCAGUGGCCUGUUCUAGUGGAAAAAGGGCUACUCCACUGAAAGAUGCAAGCUAUCUAACUAAUGGGUACCUCGAUACCAACAUAGAUUGGAUUCCUGGAAUGAAAGAUAUUCAUCUGAAAGAUCUUCCAAGUUUUAUUCGAACCACGGAUCCAAACGAUAUUACUUUUAACUUCGGCAGGGAAGCAGCUGAGAGGUCUUCCAAAGUUUCAGCAAUCUUUCUCCACACUUUUGAUGCGUUGGAGCAGGUUAUACUGAACGCUUUAACUGCCAUCUUCCCAUCUGUAUAUACGAUAGGCCCACUUCAGUUACUUUUGAAUCACAUAUCAAUGAAAGAUGAGUCAGAGGCCAUCGGAUACAAUCUAUGGAAAGAAGAAUCUGAGUGUCUCAAAUGGCUCGACUCCAAGGAAUCCGGAUCAGUAAUUUACGUGAACUUUGGUAGCAUAAUGUCAGUAACCAAGGAGCAACUAGAAGAGUUUGGGUGGGGUCUAGUGAAUAGCCACAACUUUUUGUGGAUAAUUAGGCCUGAUUUGGUAAUGGGUGAUAAAUCAGAAUCUACAAUUUUACCGAUUCAGGCUGCAGAAAUAAAAGAAAGAGGUCUAAUAGUAGCAUGGUGCUCACAAGAGGUAGGUAGUCCUGAACCACCGGUCAGUGGGGGGAUUUUUCACUCACUGUGGAUGGAAUUCAACUAUUGAGAGCUUGUCAGCAGGAGUGCCAAUGAUCUGCUGGCCGUUGUUUGCUGAUCAGCAGAUGAAUUGUAGGUAUGCUUGUACCGAAUGGGAGGUGGGGCUGGAGAUUGAUAGUGAUGUGAAGAGAGAGGAAGUGGAGAAGCUUGUUAGAGAGCUAAUGGGAGGAGAGAAGGGGAAGAAAAUGAAGAGCAAGGCUAUGGAGUGGAAGGAACUGGCAGAGAAGGCUACUGAUUCAGAUGGGUCAUCCACUUUGAGUUUGAACAACUUGGUGAACAAACUGUUAAUCUCGAAGGGUGGCUAGGAUCUGUAACUGUUCCCAGCAUUCCAAGAUAUACCUCUGUUUUCAGUUUGAUAUCGUACGAGGUUGUUUUUGUGGAUGUAUCGCCAUUGGUUGGUAAACGUCUAAAUAUUGGGCGUCCUUUCUGUCGUAUUUCCAUUUACUUUCCCUACCCAUUUUAUGAGAGGGGUAUCAGAGCUCUGUAACAUCAUACUGUAAUAAUUGGGAUUUUAUAAUAAUUGUUGGAGCUUUCUAAUGUGAUGAUUAA